UACGUAGGGGGCAAGCGUUGUCCGGAUUUAUUGGGCGUAAAGAGCGUGUAGGCGGUCAGGUAGGUCCGUUGUGAAAACUCGAGGCUCAACCUCGAGACGCCGAUGGAAACCAUCUGACUAGAGUCCGGAAGAGGAGAGUGGAAUUCCUGGUGUAGCGGUGAAAUGCGCAGAUAUCAGGAAGAACACCCGUGGCUAAGGCGGCUCUCUAGUACGGUACUGACGCUGAGGCGCGAAAGCGUGGGGAGCGAACAGG
rnacentral:rRNA from 1 species